AACACAUGAAAAUUAUCCUGAUUAGAAUGAAGUUAGCAUGAGCGUAGCCACCAGACAUCCACGCCAUUUGCAUUUUGUGCGAUGUCAAAACAAAACACAGUAGCUCCGCAGUAACGUGGCUGUAGCAAAUUUUUGAACAAUGAUAUUGUCAUUUAGGUUCGUGUCUUAAAUGUAUUCCCUUUUUUAGUAUAUUUUACAGGUAGUGAUUAACCACAAUGAAACGCAGCGGGGUUAGCAUCAGUUACCUGGUUACCGCACGCCAUGCCAAUCCAAGGCAAUCCUUGCUGCUCCCGCGUUCGUUUCACUGGUUUGAACCGUUUCGGCUCGCCGUGAAGAACUCGCCUGCAUAAUUUAUUAGAUGUUUCGUGCUGCGUCAUCCAACCCGAUUUGUUUGUUGCUGGUCGUCAGCUUUUUGUCGUCCUGUCCAACCUACAGACAAUGCGGAUGAAGCAUUUGACCUUCUGCCUGUUGCAACUUAGAGUGUGAUAGUGAGUAUCAGAACAAGACGUGUAAAUCUCGAAAAAGGGUUAUGCUCUCUGACAAUGACGACAAUGGUGAGCCAGAUAUUGUUCAAGGAACGAAGAAAGCUUCUCAGUGUUAUGUGAAGGUUCCUCCAGCGCCAACAAUGCCACCUCGACUGGUCAUAACAGAUUCAAGCACGAUACGGUCGUGCAGUCGCACUUUUGGGCAGUCCUGAUGAAGCUGCUGCUAUUCCAAGUCAUCGGUAACGUCCAAGUACAGCAUGCUGUACUGUGUUUUCAGGGUCCACCUACAAACCGUGAUCUCUUGCUGAUCAAUUCAACCUACAGUGGUGUGGUAUAGCAGGGGCCCAACACAGAGACACGAAGUCUGCUAGAGUCUGCAAUUGAGAAUGCUGUUCUCUACAUGAACCAGCAGGUGACCAGCGCUCUGCCUCGUUUCUGCACACGCGCAUGGAGCAGUCUCCCUGCCUGUCACCCUCAGUAACUCUCUUCAGUGAUUCUCAAAAUGAAUCAACUGCGUCUGCUAGAGUUCACCACAACACCAUUACGGACGCUGUUGUAAAGAGCACUGUAGAAGCUGGCUGCCCUGGGCCAGUGACAGUGGUGGUGGCCGAAUUGGAAGGCGAAAGAAGAAGCAGACAGCAGAGGUGUGAGAAAAGAAACAUCCCAUCAGCGAAAGAUGCCGUUUUGUUGCAGGACCAGCCAGUGCGCCAUCCAACUGCACUCCUGCUGUAUUCUCUGUGCACUAUUUUAAGUGCACAUUGGACACGUUCACAGGAGUUCCACAUGUGGACGAACCACAGCGGAGUGGCAACAGUGCACUUUAAGUACGAGUACUGUUUUCCUGUAGCCCAGAUAUCUGUAGCUUUCUACCUCAGUAGUACCACACCUGCAAGGCGGUUGUUGGUAUUUGGUAAAUGAAAACAGGCGGCUGUGAGAAGAACACGGGGUACAGCUAAGGAACAGGCGGGACAACUGCUUACUCACAACUAAAACUUUAGACUAAAAACUCGCGAAGAGACACUGACUGCAAAACCUUAAUUUCUACAACAAUAGGGCGUUGUUUUGUUAACAGAUAUCGUGAGAUAUGGGUAGACUUUCUUAUCCGGCACCGUGAGGCUUGUAUAAGCACCCGGUCGAUAACCCUCAGGACACAAACUAUCUUCUCGGCAACUAAGGUAUCCUUUUGUACUCGGUAUCCACGUUUUGAGGCGUCUCUCAUCUAUUGGAGCCCUCCGUCGUUCAGUAAAAGUUUAGUUGCGAGUAAGCAAUUGUUCCAUCUGCCCCUUAGCUGUACUUUGUAAUUGUUCUUAUGGCUGCUUGUUUCGAGUGACACUCGGCAGUACUCUUGUAUCUGCUUUCUUCUUGAGUUGCUAGUUACUGGCUGAUGAAAAGUACCGCCCUUCAUAGAUAUGUAGUGAUACAUUCUCUUUUUACAUGAGCAUCACAGUUGUGCAAGUUUCAUUUUUACCUGUGUAACUGUGGACAUCUAGUCAGAUGGGAGUUAAGUGUGGCAAACUUUAUGGAGGCAUAAUGUUACUUUCUUUCCACGUCACAAUUAUGCUGCUGAAGUUCUUCCCUCUGUGUAACUUUGGACUGGUAACCAAGAUUGCUGAUGCAAGCCAGUUGAUUUUUUAUAACAGUUAUUCUCGUAUAUUUUAAUAUAUUUCAAUCCUUUUAUCUCCAUCUGUUGCUGAUGCGAGAUUUUUUUCUCUUUGUGACACAUUUUGUGUGUACCAUUGUGUGAAGGUUAUCGUCAUUGUAGGUGCUACUGUGUCUGUCUGAUGCUUCCUUUUCUCCCAACAUUUUUUUAGAGCUGCAAAUUAUUACCCCUUGUGACAAAAAAGUCUGUGUUGUUGCCUUUUCUGUGUGUGGUAAAGCUGUAACUGCCGCGAAAUAACCAAUUGUUAUAUGUAUAUUUUGUGUUGGAUGGAGGUCGUGUGCAUCUACAGCACAGUUGAAGUUGUC